AGGGCAAAUGGAUUGCCUCAGUAGCGGCGAGUGAAGCGGCAAGAGCUCAGAUUUGAAAUCGUGCUUUGCGGCACGAGUUGUAGAUUGCAGGUUGGAGUCUGUGUGGAAGGCGGUGUCCAAGUCCCUUGGAACAGGGCGCCCAGGAGGGUGAGAGCCCCGUGGGAUGCCGGCGGAAGCAGUGAGGCCCUUCUGACGAGUCGAGUUGUUUGGGAAU
rnacentral:rRNA from 1 species